rnacentral:rRNA from 1 species
ACGAACGCUGGCGGCGUGGAUAAGACAUGCAAGUCGAACGAGAGAAUUGCUAGCUUGCUAAUAAUUCUCUAGUGGCGCACGGGUGAGUAACACGUGAGUAACCUGCCCCCGAGAGCGGGAUAGCCCUGGGAAACUGGGAUUAAUACCGCAUAGUAUCGAAAGAUUAAAGCAGCAAUGCGCUUGGGGAUGGGCUCGCGGCCUAUUAGUUAGUUGGUGAGGUAACGGCUCACCAAGGCGAUGACGGGUAGCCGGUCUGAGAGGAUGUCCGGCCACACUGGAACUGAGACACGGUCCAGACACCUACGGGUGGCAGCAGUCGAGAAUCAUUCACAAUGGGGGAAACCCCGAUGGUGCGACGCCGCGUGGGGGGAUGAAGGUCUUCGGAUUGUAAACCCCUGUCAUGUGGGAGCAAAUUAAAAAGAUAGUACCACAAGAGGAAGAGACGGCUAACUCUGUGCCAGCAGCCGCGGUAAUACAGAGGUCUCAAGCGUUGUUCGGAAUCACUGGGCGUAAAGCGUGCGUAGGCUGUUUCGUAAGUCGUGUGUGAAAGGCGCGGGCUCAACCCGCGGACGGCACAUGAUACUGCGAGACUAGAGUAAUGGAGGGGGAACCGGAAUUCUCGGUGUAGCAGUGAAAUGCGUAGAUAUCGAGAGGAACACUCGUGGCGAAGGCGGGUUCCUGGACAUUAACUGACGCUGAGGCACGAAGGCCAGGGGAGCGAAAGGGAUUAGAUACCCCUGUAGUCCUGGCAGUAAACGGUGCACGCUUGGUGUGCGGGGAAUCGACCCCCUGCGUGCCGGAGCUAACGCGUUAAGCGUGCCGCCUGGGGAGUACGGUCGCAAGAUUAAAACUCAAAGAAAUUGACGGGGACCCGCACAAGCGGUGGAGUAUGUGGCUUAAUUCGAUGCAACGCGAAGAACCUUACCUGGGCUUGACAUGUAAUGAACAACAUGUGAAAGCAUGCGACUCUUCGGAGGCGUUACACAGGUGCUGCAUGGCCGUCGUCAGCUCGUGUCGUGAGAUGUUUGGUUAAGUCCAGCAACGAGCGCAACCCCUGUUGCCAGUUACCAGCACGUGAAGGUGGGGACUCUGGCGAGACUGCCCAGAUCAACUGGGAGGAAGGUGGGGACGACGUCAGGUCAGUAUGGCCCUUAUGCCCAGGGCUGCACACGUACUACAAUGCCCAGUACAGAGGGGGCCGAAGCCGCGAGGCGGAGGAAAUCCUGAAAACUGGGCCCAGUUCGGACUGUAGGCUGCAACCCGCCUACACGAAGCCGGAAUCGCUAGUAAUGGCGCAUCAGCUACGGCGCCGUGAAUACGUUCCCGGGUCUUGUACACACCGCCCGUCACAUCAUGGAAGCCGGUCGCACCCGAAGUAUCUGAAGCCAACCGCAAGGAGGCAGGGUCCUAAGGUGAGACUGGUAACUGGGAUG